rnacentral:rRNA from 1 species
CACGUAGGGCGCGAGCGUUGUCCGGAAUUAUUGGGCGUAAAGAGCUCGUAGGCGGUCUGUCGCGUCGGCUGUGAAAACCUGGGGCUUAACUCCGGGCCUGCAGCCGAUACGGGCAGACUAGAGUUCGGCAGGGGAGACUGGAAUUCCUGGUGUAGCGGUGAAAUGCGCAGAUAUCAGGAGGAACACCGGUGGCGAAGGCGGGUCUCUGGGCCGAUACUGACGCUGAGGAGCGAAAGCGUGGGGAGCAAACAGG